rnacentral:rRNA from 1 species
AACGAACGCUGGCGGCAUGCCUAACACAUGCAAGUCGAACGAGACCUUCGGGUCUAGUUGCGCACGGGUGCGUAACGCGUGGGAACCGGCCCUUAGGUUCGGGAUAACUCCCCGAAAGGGGUGCUAAUACCGGAUAAUGUCUUCGGACCAAAGAUUUAUCGCCUUUGUAUGGGCCCGCGUUGGCUUAGCUAGUUGGUAGGGUAAAAGCCUACCAAGGCGACGAUCCAUAGCUGGUCUGAGAGGAUGAUCAGCCACACUGGGACUGAGACACGGCCCAGACUCCUACGGGAGGCAGCAGUGGGGAAUAUUGGAAAAUGGGCGAAAGCCUGAUCCAGCAAUGCCGCGUGAGUGAUGAAGGCAUUAGGGUUGUAAAGCUAUUUUACCCGGGAUGAUAAUGACAGUACCGGGAGAAUAAGCUACGGCUAACUCCGUG